AAAGCCCUAUCUUAAUGAAAGUGUCUGAGUUGCAUUCAGUAGAUGUGAGUUAGUGUCUCACGGGUUUUA
rnacentral:tRNA from 1 species